rnacentral:rRNA from 1 species
UACAGAGGGUGCGAGCGUUAAUCGGAAUUACUGGGCGUAAAGCGUGCGUAGACGGCUAUCUAAGUCGGGUGUGAAAGCCCCGGGCUCAACCUGGGAAUUGCAUUCGAGACUGAAUAGCUAGGGUACGGUAGAGGGAAGCGGAAUUUCCGGUGUAGCGGUGAAAUGCGUAGAUAUCGGAAGGAACAUCAGUGGCGAAAGCGGCUUCCUGGACCAGUACCGACGUCAGGCACGAAAGCGUGGGGAG